AUAAAUCUGAUGACGAGAAAAGUAGUUAAGUUUGAAGUUGUAGAGAGUCGAUGGUUGGUGAAAAUCGAUACUUCUUAUUUUAUGAAUCCACCUCUGAGGGAUUGUGAUGAGCAAUACGGGUAACCGUUAUUUUUAUAAGUGAGUUAUUAAGAUAAUAUCUUAGUGGCUAACUAGGGUGGCAACGCGGAGUCUAUUCGUCCCUAAA
rnacentral:ncRNA from 1 species